rnacentral:rRNA from 1 species
GUAUGUCGAAUGCAUCACUGCGCACGCGCAACCGAAAUACAACUUUUAACAACGGAUCUCUUGGUUCUCGCAUCGAUGAAGAACGCAGCGAAAUGCGAUAAGUAAUGUGAAUUGCAGAAUUCAGUGAAUCAUCGAAUCUUUGAACGCACCUUGCGCUCCUUGGUAUUCCGAGGAGCAUGCCCGUUUGAGUGUCUUGAUAUCAUCAAACGCCCCUGCCUUUUCUGGUGGGUCGGCGAUUUGGACUUGGACGUGCUGCUGGGCGCUCUGCGCUCGGCUCGUCUUGAAUGCAUUAGCUGGAUCUCCCUCCGGCCUCGGACCUUAUGGCGUGAUAAGAUCACCCGUCGAGCAGUCCUUGGUCAACGUUGGGUUCCGCUUCCAACCGUCCCCCGCGGACAACACCGAAACCUGGUUUUCGACAUCUGACCUCAAAUCGGGUAGGACUACCCGCUGAACUUAAGCAUAUCAAUAAGCGGAGGAAAAGAAACUAACAAGGAUUCCCCUAGUAACGGCGAGUGAAGCGGGAAGAGCUCAAAUUUAAAAUCUGGCGGCCUUCGGUCGUCUGAGUUGUAGCCUAGAGAAGCGUUUUCCGUGC